UUCUGUCAUAGUAAAAGUUGAACUUGUUUACAAAAUAAAUUGUAAAGUUUCCUAUUGGGUGGCAUUGGUAGGCAGCUACCUUGCCAUUGCACUUAAUGAAGCCACUUCCAACCCAGAGCAGACUCCAUGGCAACCACGAUGUCGUCAAUCCUUUGUCUUGGUCUCUGUGUGGUCUGGAGUAUGGUGCUGGAAUGUCAUGGGAGAUGGCGGAUGUCAGAUCUGUUUCCAUUCGCUGACAGUUGCAACACCGUGGAAUUAACCGAGAUAGGAUCGCAAAAUUAACUUAAAAAUGUGAUUUGAAAUGGGUGCUUGAACUCGAGUUGAGGUGGCGGAAAAUUCAUAAAGAAAUUGGCAGAGAUUUUAGGUUUCAUAUGAAUUAAGUGGAUAAA